UACGUAGGGCGCAAGCGUUAUCCGGAAUUAUUGGGCGUAAAGAGCUCGUAGGCGGUUUGUCGCGUCUGCCGUGAAAGUCCGGGGCUCAACUCCGGAUCUGCGGUGGGUACGGGCAGACUAGAGUGAUGUAGGGGAGACUGGAAUUCCUGGUGUAGCCGUGAAAUGCGCAGAUAUCAGGAGGAACACCGAUGGCGAAGGCAGGUCUCUGGGCAUUAACUGACGCUGAGGAGCGAAAGCAUGGGGAGCGAACAGG
rnacentral:rRNA from 1 species